UACGGGGGGAGCAAGCGUUGUUCGGAAUUACUGGGCGUAAAGGGUCCGUAGGUGGCCAACUAAGUCAGACGUGAAAUCCCUCAGCUUAACUGGGGAACUGCGUCUGAUACUGGAUGGCUUGGAUUUGGGAGAGGGAUGCGGAAUUCCAGGUGUAGCGGUGAAAUGCGUAGAUAUCUGGAGGAACACCGGUGGCGAAGGCGGCAUCCUGGACCAAUAUUGACGCUGAGGAGCGAAAGCCAGGGGAGCAAACGGG
rnacentral:rRNA from 1 species